AGUGAACGCUGGCGGUAGGCCUAACACAUGCAAGUCGAACGGCAGCACAGUAAGAGCUUGCUCUUACGGGUGGCGAGUGGCGGACGGGUGAGGAAUACAUCGGAAUCUACUUUUUCGUGGGGGAUAACGUAGGGAAACUUACGCUAAUACCGCAUACGACCUACGGGUGAAAGCAGGGGUUCUUCGGACCUUGCGCGAUUGAAUGAGCCGAUGUCGGAUUAGCAAGUUGGCGGGGUAAAGGCCCACCAAGGCGACGAUCCGUAGCUGGUCUGAGAGGAUGAUCAGCCACACUGGAACUGAGACACGGUCCAGACUCCUACGGGAGGCAGCAGUGGGGAAUAUUGGACAAUGGGCGCAAGCCUGAUCCAGCCAUACCGCGUGGGUGAAGAAGGCCUUCGGGUUGUAAAGCCCUUUUGUUGGGAAAGAAAAGCAGCAGGUUAAUACCCCGCUGUUCUGACGGUACCCAAAGAAUAAGCACCGGCUAACUUCGUG
rnacentral:rRNA from 1 species